GAUGAACGCUGGCGGCAUGCCUAAUACAUGCAAGUCGAACGCGUGAGACUAGAAAGCUUGCUUUUUAGAGGAACGAGUGGCGAACGGGUGAGUAACACGUAGGUAACCUACCCUUAUACUUGGGAUAACUGAUGGAAACGUCAGCUAAAACCGGAUAGAUACAGAACAGGCAUCUGUUUUGUAGGAAAGGUGCGAAUGCACUGGAUAAGGAUGGACCUGCGGUGCAUUAGCUAGUUGGUGAGGUAGAGGCUCACCAAGGCGAUGAUGCAUAGCCGACCUGAGAGGGUGACCGGCCACAUUGGGACUGAGACACGGCCCAAACUCCUACGGGAGGCAGCAGUAGGGAAUUUUCGGCAAUGGGGGGAACCCUGACCGAGCAAUGCCGCGUGAGUGAAGAAGGAUUUCGGUUCGUAAAGCUCUGUUGUAAGAGAAAAACGACCUUAGUAGGAAAUGGCUAAGGAGUGAUGGUAACUUACCAGAAAGUCACGGCUAACUACGUGCCAGCAGCCGCCGUAAUAC
rnacentral:rRNA from 1 species